UACGAAGGGGGCUAGCGUUGCUCGGAGUCACUGGGCGUAAAGGGCGCGUAGGCGGCCAUUCAAGUCAGAGGUGAAAGCCCAAGGCUCAACCUUGGAAUUGCCUUUGAUACUGUUUGGCUUGAGACCGGAAGAGGUUAGUGGAACUGCGAGUGUAGAGGUGAAAUUCGUAGAUAUUCGCAAGAACACCAGUGGCGAAGGCGGCUAACUGGUCCGGUUCUGACGCUGAGGCGCGAAAGCGUGGGGAGCAAACAGG
rnacentral:rRNA from 1 species